UCGACGAUGAACCACUUCGGUGGGGAUUAGUGGCGAACGGGUGAGUAACACGUGGGCAAUCUGCCCUGCACUCUGGGACAAGCCCUGGAAACGGGGUCUAAUACCGGAUAUGACCCUCGCAGGCAUCUGUGAGGGUGUAAAGCUCCGGCGGUGCAGGAUGAGCCCGCGGCCUAUCAGCUUGUUGGUGAGGUAACGGCUCACCAAGGCGACGACGGGUAGCCGGCCUGAGAGGGCGACCGGCCACACUGGGACUGAGACACGGCCCAGACUCCUACGGGAGGCAGCAGUGGGGAAUAUUGCACAAUGGGCGAAAGCCUGAUGCAGCGACGCCGCGUGAGGGAUGACGGCCUUCGGGUUGUAAACCUCUUUCAGCAGGGAAGAAGCGAAAGUGACGGUACCUGCAGAAGAAGCGCCGGCUAACUACGUGCCAGCAGCCGCGGUAAUACGUAGGGCGCAAGCGUUGUCCGGAAUUAUUGGGCGUAAAGAGCUCGUAGGCGGCUUGUCGCGUCGGUUGUGAAAGCCCGGGGCUUAACCCCGGGUCUGCAGUCGAUACGGGCAGGCUAGAGUUCGGUAGGGGAGAUCGGAAUUCCUGGUGUAGCGUUGAAAUGCGCAGAUNNAGGAGGAACACCGGUGGCGAAGGCGGAUCUCUGGGUCCGAUACUGACGCUGAGGAGCAAAGCGUGGGGAGCGAACAGGAUUAUNACCCUGGUAGUCC
rnacentral:rRNA from 1 species